rfam:Myotis brandtii contig303808, whole genome shotgun sequence.
AUAUACAUCGGCAGCACAUGUACUAAAAUUGGAACAAUACAGAGAUUAGCAUGGCCUCUGUGCAAGGAUGACAGGCACAUUUGUCAAGUAUAUACAGUAUAU